GCGGCUGCGCCUGCCCCGCUCCUCCCCUCCCAGUGAUUAGCCGCGCUCCGGCGAGAUGGCGCUGGAGGUGAGGAGUAUGGAGGGCGAUGUGGAAGACGGCGAGCUCUCUGACUCGGAUACUGACAUGCCCGGCGCUGGCUCCCCCGGGGACCCGCAACAGAAAUCACAUGAUGGCAGUGAUUCAGGCAGACUGUUCCAGAGCAGCAUUUCAUCAUGUGCACCAAGUGUUCCUUAUCGAACAACCAAAAGUGUGGACUCAAGUGAUGAAAGCUUUUCUGAAUCUGAUGAUGACAGCUGUCUGUGGAAACGAAAACGACAGAAAUGUUUCAACUUUCCUCCUGCUAAGUCUGAGCCUUUUCAGUUUAGCCAGAGCCACCAAAACCAAACUGCUCCAGGUGGCAAGAAGGUCAACAACAUUUGGGGUGUUGUGCUCCAGGAGCAGAAUCAGGAUGCAGUGGCUGCUGAACUUGGGAUUCUAGGCAUGGAUGGUAGUAUUGACAGAAGCAGGCAGUCUGAGACUUACAAUUAUUUAUUGGCUAAAAAGCUGAUGAAGGAAGCUCAGCAAAAGGAGGCAGAGACAUUAGAUAAAGAACUGGAUGAAUACAUGCAUGAUGACAAGAAAACAUUGCCAGCAGAAGAAGAAAAUGGGCAAAGUUUUCUCAAACGGAAGCGGCCUGUAAAAGAUAGACUGGGUGAAAGACAAGAAAUGAAAUACAAAGGAAGGUAUGAGGUAACAGAAGAAGAUUCAGAGGAAAAAGUGGCAGAUGAAAUUGCUUAUCGGCUUUGCGAGCCAAAGAAAGAUUUAAUUGCCCGAGUAGUGAAAAUAAUUGGGAAAAGAAAAGCUAUCGAACUGCUUAUGGAAACAGCUGAAGUGGAACAAAAUGGUGGACUGUUCAUAGUGAACGGCACUAGGAGAAGAACACCAGGGGGCGUUUAUUUAAACCUGCUGAAGAACACACCUAGCAUCAAAGAAGAACAAAUCAAGGAAAUAUUCUAUCUGGAAAACCAAAAGGAGUAUGAAAACAAAAAAGCUGCUAAGAAGAGAAGACUACAAGUUCUAGGGAAGAAGAUGAAAAAAGCCAUUAAAGGGCUUAACCUGCAAGAAUAUGAUGAUGCAUCUCGUGAGACUUUUGCUAGUGAUACGAAUGAGGCUCUGGCUUCCCUAGAUGAUCUACAGGAGGGGCAUCAUGAAGCAAAGAUGGAACCUGAAGAUAUUAUUGAAAUUGAUAAUCCUCAUGAUUUGGAGAUCUUCUAGUUUGGAGAUCUUCUAGUUCUUGACACUAUUUUCCAGUAUGAAGUGUUUCUGAAGUAUUAAUGAAUACACUUUCAAACCCAACAACAAACUUCUGUACAUAAAUUUUGUUCACCUGGAGUCCUUGGCUUUCAGAAGCAAAGCAUAUCACUAAAAUGCAUAAUGAAGUUACAAUAUUGAACAAUUCAGUACUGUCAAGAGCUGGUGUUUAAAGGACUACAGUAUUUGAAGGUUUAUUAACUGCUAUUUGCCAAAAUUCUCGAGCAUGGAUGGAAUGACCCAGAGCUUCCUGUGAUGCCUUGAAAAGAAGACAUGAAGAAUAAUUUGAAUUUAAAGGAAGUGAUAGUGAGAUCAGAAAGGGGUUUUGUCCUGUAUGCAGUUUAAUGGUGGUCCCAUAUUCCCCAAGGUGCUGCUGGGUAUGUGAAGCAACUCGUAUUGAUUGAAUCCAGUUCCAAACAUCAAGCCAGACAGGAAUGGUUUGCUAUUCUCUCUGUAGCAUCUUCAUAGUGCUAGUAGGACAUUUUAUCCUGAAGUUUAUUUCUGUCUAAAACUUCUAUUCUGUUUUUCUUUAUUUUGAUCAUAAUUAAAAAAAAAGUAUGACACUGAUUCCUUUGUGUAGGAGAAAUGGGUAGAGGCAGAUAGUUGGCACAUGCAGGGUUAUUCAUUCUACAGAUAGGUUUAUUAAGGACUCUGAUUUCUGAAAGAUCUACAAGGAGCCAAAGAGUGAGAGGAAGUGAAAAACGGCAAUAACAAGGUAUAAAGAUGAUGGGAGAAGUGAAUGAAAAGGAGAUGACUACAUUAAUUAUGACAGUUGCUGUUACAAAGAGGUUAAAUUCCUCGUAUUUUGUCAGAGUAGAGGUGUGGAGGAGUAGGCUGGGUAAUAAAGAAAAUUACAAGUUUUUCAGAAGAGGUUUCUUUUUUUUUUUUCAAUCUGUCAUAAAACUUCACUAUGACAACCGUUAUUACUUAUCCCCUUAACUUACACCAUCCUCUGCUGCUGCAGUUUUGACACAGAAAAGUCUGCCAGAGGCACUUUUUUAAAGCUUAGUUUUUUGCAAUGUAUGGAGCAGAAUUGUAUUCAUUGCUUCAGUGAAUAUGGGCUUACUUGGUAGCCCACCCCUGUCCCUAAUUCUUACUGGUCAGCAGCACAUCAAAGAUACAAGUCUAUUUCUGAAGUGGUGUGGUACUUCAGUGAUUCUGGUAAUAUCCAGCCUUUGCAUCAUAGUUUAAGGGAUUCAAGCACCUGGCAGAGGUGAUGAUUGUAAUUUCCUAGGACCACCUCUUGUAUUCGGCGGGCAGCUGGAGAGCGUGUUGCACAGUGGCAAUCUUUGGAGCAGCUGUGAAUUCUUGGUAAUUUGGACUUACUGCAUCCUGUCUCACUCAUGAUCUGUCAGGCCCUAGGAAGUCCUUGAAAAACAGAGCUUGGCAAUAUUUAGGAAGGAAGUAUUUUAAGUUCUCUGCAAUACUGAUAGAUGCUACUUAUUCAGUGCUGUGGUAGGAGGAAGGAACACUCAACUCUGAUACGUACAAUACGGCCUAGCCAAACAUAUUUCUAGAAUCACAAGGAUCUGGAGCUAAAUACUGAUGAAAAUGAGAAACAUAUAUCUGAAGUUGUAACAAGAUUCUAUACACAAGUUAGGUAUUCUAGAUACUACCUUUAAGGUAAUUUUUUUCCUUGAGCAGUUUUCAGUUAUUAACAAAAGCAAACCAACAUUUUUCUGUCAUUAAAUAAAUGCAGAAAAAUCUUUCUUAGCUUGAAAACUUCCCUACAAAGAUUUUUUUUUUCCCCUUGAAAGCUCAUUUGUGAUUCAGUAUAUCAGCAUUCUUGUUUAAAACAUCAUGCCUUUGAAAGGUAUUCUCAUUUUUCCCCAGAAGUUGUAGUUUUUUUAAUUUGCCCCCAGAAUUUUUCAUUUGUUCUAUCAGGUCUUUUUUUUUUCAAAUGAUAGUACAGCUAUUUACAGUAAUUAUUUUAUAUUUCUUCUUUAGUUACCACUGAUGAGUUUUGCAUUGACAGCCUUCAACCCCUGGAAUGCCUUAAUUCGUCAUGCAGAACUUGCUGAAUUACAUACUGGGGCUCUGGAAGACAGCUUGUUCUUGGUGCACCAGGAAACAUUUUGCCAUGGAGAUGAAAGAAAAACCCCCAAGAAAAAAUAAAUGCCUUGGGAAAUGUUAGUUGCUGAUAUCCUCAUACAUUCCCAUGUUUCUAGAUACUGGCAACUGUGAUUGCUUUUGCAUGCAGAAAACUCGACCUGCUUCUUCCUCUUAGAAACAAGCUGGAACAGUAUAGUAUGAAACAUUUAAAUAGCAUAUGAAAUUGCUCCAAACUAUUUUCAUUAUAGAGAAAAGUAAAACAACAACUUUGCCUUAAUGUUGACCUACUGUCUUUGAUAAAGAAUAUGCAAGCACAAAAUAUUUUGUAAUCAAGAUUUUGGUGGAAAAGCACAAUGUCUGUGUAUCGUAGAAUCAUAAAUGUUGGAAGGGACCUCAAAGAUCAUCUAGUUCCAACCCCCUUGCCAUGAGCAGGGACAUCCUCCACUAGACCACGUUGCCCAAAGCCUCAUCCAACUGGGCCUUGAGCCCUUCCAGGGAGGGGGCAUCCACAACCUCUCUGGGAGACCUGUUGCAGUGCCUCACCACCCUCACAGUGAAGAAUUUGUUCCUAAAAUCUCAUCUAAAUCUACCCUGCUUCAGCUUAAACCCAUUACCCCUUGUCCUAUGACUACACUCCCUGAUAAACAGUCCCUCACCAGCUUUCCUGUAGGCCCCCUUUAGGCACUGGAAGGCUGCUAUAAAGUCUCCCUGGAGCCUUCUCUUCUCCAGGGUGAACAACCCCAACUCUCUCAGCCUGUCCGCACAGGAGAGGUGCUGCAUCCCUCUGA